rnacentral:misc_RNA from 1 species
UUUUGCCGUGGUUUGCGGAAGAAAGAGAAACACGGAGAAGGUGGCACGACGCCGUUUUGUUUCUUCUAAGAUAUAGGAGGAUUCUCAGUUCAAGAUCUGUAUAAUCGGAAUUGAAGAGUUUAGAAUCCCUGCAAAAAUGUCUUACUACCCUAAAGGCCACCACGAUGACGACGGCACUGAAUUUGAUGAGUACGAUCCAACUCCUUAUGGUGGUGGAUACGACAUUGCUUUGACUUAUGGUCGCCCACUUCCGCCAUCUGAGGAAACCUGUUAUCAGCCUUCCUCAGCUUCUGAUGAGUUCGACUAUGAUCGUCCUCAGUACACUUCGUAUGCUGAGCCUUCUGCUUAUGGUGAUGAGGCUCUUGAUAAUGAGUACCAGAGCUAUUCGAGGCCUAAGCCUCGCCCCACCCCUUCUUAUCGUCCAUCUGAGGAAACUCAUACUUAUGAGCAGCCUCAAGCUGAUUAUGGGUUUCAGCCUGGGGUGAAUCGCCCUGGCGGAGAAAGUGAAUAUGGAUCUGGGUAUGGACGGAAGAGUGAGUAUGAAGAAGAGCCCACAUCAGAAUAUGGAUCUGGGUAUGGGAGAAAGAGUGA